GGUGGAUGGUGUGCGUGGUGUCGGUCCAUGUUAUGUAUUGUUGCCAGACUACGUUUUGUAGCCUGUGCAGCGGUGCUCACUCCUCACUUGCAGCCAUAGAGCAGAAGGAGAUCAUAGUACUGGCCCUUGAUGUCUUUCUUGACUUCUCACCAUUGGUCAGCCUCCAAACUCUCCAACAUAA
ensembl:snoRNA small nucleolar RNA SNORA23